rnacentral:rRNA from 1 species
GGAUGAAUAUUGGUCAAUGGGCGGGAGCCUGAACCAGCCAAGCCGCGUGAGGGAGGAAGGCCCUAUGGGUCGUAAACCUCUUUUGUCAGGGAACAAAAGCGAGUAUGUAUACUAGUCUGAGUGUACCUGAAGAAAAAGCAUCGGCUAACUCCGUGCCAGCAGCCGCGGUAAUACGGAGGAUGCGAGCGUUAUCCGGAUUUAUUGGGUUUAAAGGGUGCGUAGGCGGCGGUGCAAGUCAGCGGUAAAAGCCCGGGGCUCAACCCGGCGAGCCGUUGAAACUGCAGUGCUAGAGAAGGCGAGAGGUACGCGGAAUGCGCAGUGUAGCGGUGAAAUGCUUAGAUAUUGCGCAGAACUCCGAUUGCGAAGGCAGCGUACUGGCGCCUGACUGGCGCUGAGGCACGAAAGCGUGGGGAUCGAACAGGAUUAGAUACC